rnacentral:lncRNA from 1 species
AUAGACCUUAACGGGUAGGUCAGCGAUCGGUUCUUCAUUAUCUUCAUCAUUUGUAGAGGGAGUCAUGGAAAGAAGUGAGUUUCAUAUACUCAGUAAGGAAAAUAGUAUUUAAAUAACAUCAUAAGAUUUUAAAAGUGAAUAAUUAUAUCAUCAAUAUUUACCAUUAGGGGUCACAUCAGGGUCCUUUCUUACUUUAUAAAAAUAAU